rnacentral:rRNA from 2 species
UGACCCCAUGCCGAACUCAGAAGUGAAACGCCGUAGCGCCGAUGGUAGUGUGGGGACUCCCCAUGCGAGAGUAGGGAACUGCCAGAC